rnacentral:rRNA from 1 species
GUCUACGGCCAUGCCACCCUGAACGUGCCCAAUCUUGUCUGAUCUCGGAAGCUAAGCAGGGUUGGGCUUGGUUAGUACUUGGAUGGAAGACCACCUAGGAAUACCAGGUACUGUAGGCA